GACGAACGCUGGCGGCGUGCUUAACACAUGCAAGUCGAACGGAAAGGCCCUGCUUUUGUGGGGUGCUCGAGUGGCGAACGGGUGAGUAACACGUGAGUAACCUGCCCUUGACUUUGGGAUAACUUCAGGAAACUGGGGCUAAUACCGGAUAGGAUCUCCUGCUGCAUGGUGGGGGUUGGAAAGUUUCGGCGGUUGGGGAUGGACUCGCGGCUUAUCAGCUUGUUGGUGGGGUAGGGGCUUACCAAGGCUUUGACGGGUAGCCGGCCUGAGAGGGUGACCGGCCACAUUGGGACUGAGAUACGGCCCAGACUCCUACGGGAGGCAGCAGUGGGGAAUAUUGCACAAUGGGCGGAAGCCUGAUGCAGCAACGCCGCGUGCGGGAUGACGGCCUUCGGGUUGUAAACCGCUUUCGCCUGUGACGAAGCGUGAGUGACGGUAAUGGGUAAAGAAGCACCGGCUAACUACGUG
rnacentral:rRNA from 1 species